CCCCUCUCCCGCCUCGUCGCCGGGCUCGGCAACAACCCGCAUACGACCCUGACUUCGAGGCGGCCUACGUGGCCGCUCAUCAAGAAUAUCAGGUGGCCUUCAACCAGCACCAGCAGCAGUUCAUGGAGUACAUGGCAUAUAUACAUGCGUCGUUUGUGGCCAAUCAAACUGGACAGACAGCGGAUUUAGGGCCGAUGCCUCCCUUUCCGGGGCCGGCGCCAAACAUGCCAUCGAAGGAAAAUUUCGCUGCGGAGUACUAUGGGAGAACAACGGUAAGUUCUUCGCCAAACCGAAU